UGGUAGUNCACGCCGUAAACGAUGAGUGCUAGGUGUUAGGCCCUUUCCGGGGCUUAGUGCCGGAGCUAACGCAAUAAGCACUCCGCCUGGGGAGUACGACCGCAAGGUUGAAACUCAAAGGAAUUGACGGGGGCCCGCACAAGCGGUGGAGCAUGUGGUUUAAUUCGAAGCAACGCGAAGAACCUUACCAGGUCUUGACAUCCCGAUGCUAUUCUUAGAGAUAGGAAGUUACUUCGGUACAUCGGAGACAGGUGGUGCAUGGUUGUCGUCAGCUCGUGUCGUGAGAUGUUGGGUUAAGUCCCGCAACGAGCGCAACCCUUAUUGUUAGUUGCCAUCAUUAAGUUGGGCACUCUAGCGAGACUGCCGGUAAUAAACCGGAGGAAGGUGGGGAUGACGUCAAAUCAUCAUGCCCCUUAUGACCUGGGCUACACACGUGCUACAAUGGUCGGUACAACGAGUUGCGAGCCGGUGACGGCAAGCUAAUCUCUGAAAGCCGAUCUCAGUUCGGAUUGGAGGCUGCAACUCGCCUCCAUGAAGUCGGAAUCGCUAGUAAUCGCGGAUCAGCACGCCGCGGUGAAUACGUUCCCGGGCCUUGUACACACCGCCCGUCACACCACGAGAGUUUGUAACACCCGAAGUCGGUGAGGUAACCUUUUNGGG
rnacentral:rRNA from 1 species